rnacentral:rRNA from 1 species
UUAAAUUAUUAAGGGCGUAUGGUGGAUGCCUUGGCAUUAGAAGACGAUGAAGGACGCGACAAACAGCGAUAUUGCUUCGGGGAGUUGUAAGUAAACUUUGAUCCGGAGAUCUCCGAAUGAGGAAACUCACCCAUUAGGGUAUCAUAAAGUGAAUACAUAGCUUUAUAGAAGUCAACCCCGUGAACUGAAACAUCUUAGUAACGGGAGGAAAAGAAAGAAAAAUCGAUUGCCUGAGUAGUGGCGAGCGAAACGGCAACAGCCCAAACCAGUCUUAGGACUGGGGUUGUAGGACACUAAUAUACGGAGUUACCAAGUUUUAUGAUAGCAGAACACUUUGGAAAGAGUGACCAUAGGAAGUGAUAGUCUUGUAUGCGAAAUCAUGAAACCUCUAUAGUGUAUCCUGAGUACGGCGGGACACGAGAAAUCUUGUCGGAAUCUGUGGGGACCAUCCCAUAAGGCUAAAUACUCUCUAAUGACCGAUAGUGAACAAGUACCGUGAGGGAAAGGUGAAAAGAACCCCGGGAGGGGAGUGAAAUAGAGAAUCUGAAACCAUAUGCUUACAAAAAGUUCGAGCCCAUUAACGGGUGAGAGCGUGCCUUUUGCAGAAUGAGCCGGCGAGUUAUGGUAUUGUGCAAGGUUAAGUGGAAAACACGGAGCCGAAGCGAAAGCAAGUCUUAAUAGGGCGAUUUAGUACAAUGCUGUAGACCCGAAACCGAGUGAUCUAGCCAUGAGCAGGUUGAAGUUGGGGUAAUACCCAAUGGAGGACCGAACCAGGGUACUAUGUAACGUGCUUGGAUGACUUGUGGCUAGCGGUGAAAUUCCAAUCGAACUCGGAUAUAGCUGGUUCUCCCCGAAAUAGGUUUAGGCCUAGCCUUGAAUUAUUUCAUCCUGGAGGUAGAGCACUGAAUGUGGAAUGGCCGCGUCUAGCGGUACUGACUGCAAUCAACCUCCGAAUGCCAGGAAUUGUAGAUUCAGGAGUCAGUGUAUGAGGUGAUAACGUCCAUACGCGAGAGGAAAACAAUCCAGACCAUCAACUAAGGUCCCUAAAUAUAUGUUAAGUGGGAAAGGAUGUGGAGACGCACGAACAGCUAGGAGGUUGGCUUAGAAGCAGCCAUCCUUUAAAGAGUGCGUAAUAGCUCACUAGUCGAGUAUCUCUGCGCCGAAAAUGUACCGGGGCUAAACAUAUUACCGAAGUUAUGGAUUUAUAAUUUAUUAUAAAUGGUAGGGGAGCGUUCUAAGGGCGCUGAAGGUAGAUCGUGAGGACUACUGGAGCGCUUAGAAGUGAGAAUGCCGGUGUGAGUAACGUAAGGUAGGUGAGAAUCCUACCCACUAUUUGACCAAGGUUUCCAGGGUCAAGUUCGUCUUCCCUGGGUUAGUCGGGACCUAAGGCGAGGCUGAAAAGCGUAGUCGAUGGACAACAGGUUUAUAUUCCUGUACUGCUUAUAGGACUGAUGGAGUGACGGAGAAAGCUAGAAAGAGCCAGUUAUUGGAUUCUGGUCUAAGCGUUUAGGUUGAUGCACAGGAAAAUCCGUGAUAUCGAUAAGACUGAAGCGUGAUGGCGACGUGGUCUACGGACCGCUAAGUCUUUUGAAGCUAUGCUUCCAAGAAAAACUUCUAAAGAUAUGUUAUAAGUACCCGUACCUAGAACCAACACAGGUGGUCAAGGAGAGAAUCCUAAGGUGAGCGAGAGAACUAUGGUUAAGGAACUCGGCAAAAUUACCCCGUAACUUCGGAAUAAGGGGAGGUUUCUUCGGAAACCCGCAGUGAAUAGGUCCAGGCAACUGUUUACCAAAAACACAGGUCUCUGCUAAAGCGUAAGCUGAUGUAUAGGGGCUGACGCCUGCCCAGUGCUGGAAGGUUAAGAUGAUUUGUUAGGUGGACGAAAGUCGAUAACACCGAAGCUUUGAUUUGAAGCCCCAGUGAACGGCGGCGAUAACUAUAAUCGUCCAAAGGUAGCGAAAUUCCUUGUCAGGUAAGUUCUGAC